CUGUCUCUCUCUCUCUCUCUCUAAAAAAAUGAGUAAAUAUCUAAAAAAAUUUAAAAAAAGAAAUGAAUGCUCACAUAUGGCCAGACAUACCCAGGUUUACUCAGCUCUUCACUGGCCAUGAGUUAUCGUUCCAAGGCACUUGUGGUAGGGCAGUAGUGCAUUGGUGCAUCGGUGAUAAUGUGCAUGGUUUUCUCCUCCGCAGAUAAAAUGUGUCAUUACUGCUUUACGUGUUUUCCAAAUCUGAAGCUGGAACACUGCCUGGAUGAGAAUAGAAGUGGUAGGGGUGUGCCUAUUAAAACUGCAGGUGUCUAGGCCUUGUCCCAGAUCUCGCUGACUCAGAAUCUCUACGCAGGUAUCUCGUGAUUCUGCACACUGAAGGUGGCGAGGCUUGCUCUCUAUACCCCAUUUUGUUCUGAGUCCCAACCCACCCUGUUCUCUCCAUCACAUCUUGGUCAAUGUGAGGCUGCCAUCUCCCAGAGCAGCAAGUGGCACAGAGGUUAGCUGUCAAUUGCUCAUUUGAAGUUUCUGGGCCUCAGUCAUAUGACAACAGCAAUUCCUAUGGUUACUCAUGCCUUGUUCAUUUAUACUGAAGCCUUAACCCCCAGGAAGAUCUUCCUUCUGAUUGGUAAUUCACAGUACUCAAAGGAAAAGGAUAAAAUGUAGAGCAAAUACAGACACGGGCUCUGCUCUGCUGAAGCUAACAAUUUAGUGGAAAAGACAGACAUUGGAUAAAUAACCACACAGAUAUACAGAACCUAACAGAACUUCUGAGGAAGAUGCAGAGUAGGAGAACCCUCAGCUCACACGUCCCAUGGAUACAACUAGAUAACAUUCAUGCCAGUGUAAACAAUAACAAGACAUAGAACAACAUCCAUCAAUAAAUAAAACAUGGUACUUAUCUGUAAUGUAACACUGUUCUGCUACUUAAAAGAAGAAAAUCCCACCAACUGAGAUAACAUGAAGGGAACUUGGGGGGUUAUCCUAAGUGAAAUAAGUCAAACAGUGUACGACAAAUAAUACUGUAUGAUCUGACUCAUGUGAAAUUAAAAAAAAAAAGCAUACCACAAAAAG